GUUUUCUGUUUGCUCUUGUCCAUGCUCUUCCUGAAUGGCAAGAACAAUGGUGAGGUUCAACUCGUAGGUGCCUUCCUCCCAAUCUGCGUACGCCCCAUCCUCUCUGCCUAGCUGAGUGACACAGGCCAAAGAUGUUGUUGUGUUUACCUGGGAAACUGCAACUCAUUAACUGGUCUAUCAGAGCCAUAAGAAUAAAUGACUUAACCAAUA